UAGGGUGUAGCUCUAUGGUAGAGCCCAUGCUUGGCACGCAGGAGACCCUGGGUUCAAUUCCCAGCACCUAAG
rfam:Ictidomys tridecemlineatus contig066268, whole genome shotgun sequence.